GAAGUGAAGCCAAAGGGGUGAUUUUGUUGAAGAAUUCCUACAGCUGCUAAGGGUUGUCCAUCCACAAGAAGACUUCCCUUACAGCCCUGUCUUGAGGCACCUGUUUCUGGUUUUCUGGUGGGCAGCUGGCUUUAUUCCAUUAUUAUUCCUUCUGGGAAAUGAAACAGAAUGACUGAAGUCCUGUCGUGUCGAAAGGAUUUCCCAGGAAAGAAUACUGGAGUGGGUUGCCAUUUUCC